AUUGAACGCUGGCGGCAGGCCUAACACAUGCAAGUCGAACGGUAACAGGAAGAAGCUUGCUUCUUUGCUGACGAGUGGCGGGCGGGUGAGUAAUGUCUGGGAAACUGCCUGAUGGAGGGGGAUAACUACUGGAAACGGUAGCUAAUACCGCAUAACGUCGCAAGACCAAAGAGGGGGACCUUCGGGCCUCUUGCCGUCGGAUGUGCCCAGCUGGGAUUAGCUAGUAGGUGGGGUUACGGCUCACCUAGGCGGCGAGCCGUAGCUGGUCUGAGAGGAUGACCGGCCACACUGGAAGUGAGACACGGUCCAGACUCCUGCGGGAGGCAGCAGUGGGGAAUAUUGCACAAUGGGCGCAAGCCUGAUGCAGCCAUGCCGCGUGUAUGAAGAAGGCCUUCGGGUUGUAAAGUACUUUCAGCGGGGAGGAAGGGAGUAAAGUUAAUACCUUUGCUCAUUGACGUUACCCGCAGAAGAAGCACCGGCUAACUCCGUG
rnacentral:rRNA from 1 species